rnacentral:piRNA from 1 species
UUUCUUGAAUCUCCUCUACUC